UGUUAUUGAUGUUGAGAUACAUCAAGUAAGAAGACUGGUCUUUGACAAUUACCAAUAGUGUCCACUGUCUUUAUAAGACAUUUGUGUGCCAUCGUCGUUUAUUCUGCAUCUGUUAUUAUGCACAACUAAACUAUAUUUGUUUUUUAAAAAGACUUGGGCCCACUGCUUUAUAGUUCCCUUCGCCAACAUUUUGCUGGUGUAUAUUAUGUAUUUUUCUCUGCACUAUCAAUAACUUUUUUUACGAGUGCUUAAUGUGAUAUAAAAUAGCAGUGUAGACUUUCGGUAAUAUUUUUUUUAAACGACUUAGGCCUCGGCUUAGGUCGUUUCACCAACGGUUUUUUUCUGCUGUUUAUGUAUAUUGCUCUGUAUCCAUCACUUUGUUAAGGUAUAGCGGCGCUUCUUGUGGUAUCAAAAGGCAUUGUACACCUUGUGUAACUAUCAAAGACCAGUAUCCUCACUUGGUGUAUCCAAAUUUAUGCAUCAAAAUAACAAACCUUUGAAAAUGUUGGCUCAAUUGGUCAGCGAAAUUGCAAGGGAAUAAUGAAAGAAACAAUACACUUAUUGCUUUGCAUAAAGAUUGUGUGUCACUUUGCUGACGAUUUUAGCAACUUUUCAGGUCAAAUUACGAAAUUUAACAAAAAGUCUUGAAGAUUAAGCCCGCUUAAAACCCGACUGUGUGAACUCGCAUUACGCAAUAGCUCUUUGUGUAAGGAAUGCAUAUUAUGAUAAUGUAUUGGAGUAACCAAACAUGUGAUGAGAGAGAAAUCAAAUGGUCCUCAUAAGGGAACCCAAGACCACUGACAAUCCGGGCUCUACCAACUGGGCUGUGAUGCACAGAGGUAUACUCUCUAAGGUCGGUAGAGCAUCUGCCCGGAGUGUCUUGGGUUCGAGUCCCUUUGAUGUGUCUCUCAUCCAUGUUUGGUUAUUUCAUUUCUCUGGUGAUUAGGCAUCAUGCCAAACCUUGUGUUUGAAUGUAUUAGAGUGUGAUGUGGAUGUGGAUGAAGUGGAAACCGAGCGAGCGAAAUGUCGGAUGGCAGUGAGCAACAAUGUCAAAAAGAGAAUGGACCCGCAUUGAGAAUGGUGUCGGGGGAUUUCCCAAGUAACCGCUUUGUCGCACCAUUUAUUUGUUUGCAGGCAUCUUUGAGGCAGCCGACUACAGAGUAUACAGAUGUAAUAUCGCAGUGGUACACAAUACAUGUAGGCCUAUGCUUUAUCACUCCCAAGCAGAGGUGUAUUAAAGCGCUCAAUAUUUUUGUCUGCAAGAUUUGUUGAGCUAUCCUUUUUAAAUAUAUCAAUUAUUUUACAGAGGCAUGUAAUGGUUUACAAGGUGCUGUGGCGCAGAAAUGCUGCCGAUCAAACUAGGAACACCGCGGGCGAGCACCUUCUCUUAACGAUAAGUGCACUCUUACACGUGCUUUAAACACAACACACGGGACCUACGGCUUUACGUCCCAUCCGAAGGACGCAGCUAUUAAACUGGUUAAGUGUCUUGAUCAAGGACACAAGUGUCUUGAUCAAUGACACAAGUGUCCGACCGGGACUCGAACCAAUACUCUGCCAAUCAGAAACGCGUCAGAACUUGAGCCUGGUGUUCUUAUCCGCUAAGCCACGACACGGGGGGGGGGGUUAUUGUACCCGCCCACACUCCUUAAUAACAAGUAUGGUAGCGAGUGACAAUGAGUGCAUGAAACCGUGUUUGCAAUUGGUUGUCAUUUCGUGUUUGAAACCUCAUAACAGUUCAUGAAAUCAGCGUCCGAUUAUAAAGAAUGUAAUUCGUUAUGUUGUUCAAGACAUUUAGCUUCUACUUGAAGGCUUUCCUUUCCCAUCAGUGGUAAAACUAAGGGAAUUUAGUAGCUCUGGGUUCCUUUGAUAUUUAAAUCAUAUUGUAGUAUUCCUUUGAAAACAUCGUCAAAGUUUUUUCAACCAUGACCGUUGGGCCUACACUACGUAAAGGCCGGCUGUAUCUUUUCCCUCUCUCUCUCUCUCUAGCAGCCAGCAGCACCACGUAGCAGUGAAGAAAUGGAUGAGUAUUCAAGCACGUUAUUAACACUAGCUUUGGUUUAGUCAUUGUGGUGUUUCAAUUUGGCAGCUUUAAGUAUCCAGUUAAAUACAGGUACACCAGAGUGACCUAGUUUUAUUACCUUACCGGCACGCCCUCUAGAGGUCCAUCGGGGGACCGUGCCCCCACCCUUAACUAAUAUCCACCCGGGUGCCCCACCCUUUCCCCGAUUUGAAAUCUGGACUUCUGAAAUCAAAAUUACCCCGGGAAAAAGGAGGCAGUCUGUAAGCUUUAAAGUGAUAAUUUCAACGUGCUUAGUUGUUUUCAUUUUACUCGCAGACAGUCUAUUUGUUUUAACACUCGCAUCAGGUUAUCUUUUUAACAAUUUGUAUAAUUAUGACAAAAGAAGAGCACUAAGAAAGUCUUGGUUAUAAACGAUUAAAACAUCUUUAUUGCCAAAAAAGUCCCCUCCCCACCUCUAGAAAAACAAAAACAAAACACGUGCCCCUGUAAGAUAUUACCCUAUACUUGUUCGGUGCAGUUUCUGAUAAUAUUGUGAAGUUUAUAUGGUUUAAGCUGUGCUGUCAUGAUUGCCAUUAUUUGUGAAGUUGAAAGAGGGCGCUGUGGUGCUACCGUGAAUAGAGCAAGUUCGAGUGCGCAUAGUCGACUUCUGACCAGCAACGAACAUGCGCAGUGACGUGCUCACUCAAACUACUCGUUUGGAAGCCUAUAGGUCAACCGUCGAUUACAACGGUAUACAACACUACUGCCUACAGCGUUUUCGAUAUACCGUGUGUCUCAAAUACACUUUUGAGAUGGCUGCCGAAUUAAAAACAUAUGAUUCUGUGGGAAAAGGUUUAUAUGUAUCGGCAGCUUAUGGAUUGAACUUU